rnacentral:rRNA from 1 species
UACGGGGGGGGCAAGCGUUGUUCGGAAUUACUGGGCGUAAAGGGCUCGUAGGUGGCCAACUAAGUCAGACGUGAAAUCCCUCGGCUUAACCGGGGAACUGCGUCUGAUACUGGAAGGCUUGAGUUCGGGAGAGGGAUGCGGAAUUCCAGGUGUAGCGGUGAAAUGCGUAGAUAUCUGGAGGAACACCGGUGGCGAAGGCGGCAUCCUGGACCGACACUGACGCUGAGGAGCGAAAGCCAGGGGAGCAAACGGG